AGCAGCCGCGGUAAUUCCAGCUCCAAUAGCGUAUAUUAAAGUUGUUGCAGUUAAAAAGCUCGUAGUUGAAUUUCGGGAUCAAUUAAUUGGUCGUGCCUAUGGUACGUACUGAUUUUAUUGGUUUCUCCCUUCUGACGAACCAUGAUGUCAUUAAUUUGGUGUCGUGGAGAAUCAGGACUGUUACUUUGAAAAAAUUAGAGUGUUUAAAGCAGGCUAACGCUUGAAUACAUUAGCAUGGAAUAAUGAAAUAGGACGUUUGAUCCUAUUUUGUUGGUUUCUAGGAUCGACGUAAUGAUUAAUAGGGAUAGUUGGGGGCAUUAGUAUUCAAUUGUCAGAGGUGAAAUUCUUGGAUUUAUUGAAGACUAACUACUGCGAAAGCAUUUGCCAAGGAUGUUUUCAUUAAUCAAGAACGAAAGUUAGGGGAUCGAAGACGAUCAGAUACCGUCGUAGUCUUAACAUAAACUAUGCCGACUAGGGAUCGGAUGAUGUUAAUUUUUUAAUGUACUCAUUCGGCGCCUUA
rnacentral:misc_RNA from 1 species